rnacentral:misc_RNA from 1 species
AGGAGGAUUUCAUUAGUGUGGGGCCCAUAUACAUCGGAAGUAUCGAGAAAUGUGACGCCGGAGUUAAUGGCGUGGUGGAUGAGUUGGACCAUAUCGGAAUCGGGUUUGGGAGGCCCGUAAAAAGCGGACAUACCCAUACAACCAAGUCCUUGAGCAGAUACUUCAAGACCCUCUGAACCCAAUUUGAUUCUUCCCACUUUUGU